GCUAUAACUUUCUACCUUCUUCUCAAAUCUGAGGGGCAGCCAGUUCGUGAUCAUCCAGUCAUUUCACGCCUUGUGGAGAUAAAAAAUCUGUUGAAUAAGAUGAAAGAAUUUGAUGGAUAUCUUCCUUCUAAACUAGAAGACUUGUUACACAAGAAUGUUGAUAAUGUAACUGGUGUAAAGUUGUCGGGAAGGAACUUGGAUUCUGAAUCUUUCCCCAUUUCUGACAAGCCUUCUGUGGUGUCAACUGAUAUACAAGAAGCAGAGCCUCAUGAAGCUGAGUUGGCGGAGGCAAGUGGUGUAAAUAGUCUACGGAAAAAGGAAUCAAAACGCAAACGCCAGGAUGAUCAAGUUGGUAUCCAAAGCAUGGAAAUGUUAAAAGUGAGAGCUUCCCUUGAGGAAAAAUUGAAGCAGACAGGUGCUUUAAGUUCCAUUGCACGGAAAAAUGAAAAACGAAACAAGCGCUCACGACUUCUGAAUGGGAUGUUGGCAACUCCUGAUGAUUUUGAUGAUGAUUCCAUGGCUGCUGAAGAUGAUCGUGAGACACGAAGUUUAAACAAGCUGUCUAGGCUUCUAACUCCUCAAGUAGCAAGACCCAAGAUAAUUUCUGGUGAUGAUGAUCUACCUAAACGAGAUGACAUUGGAGAAAGGAGAAGAAAGCAUGAACUGAGAGUUCUAGCCGGAGCUGGAGUUGAACCUAUUGAUGAUGUCAACCAUGAGACUGGUGACCAUGCAAGCGAUGAUGUUGCUACUUCUGACGAUAGUGAAAUGGAUUCAGAUAUGGAAUUCUACAGAGAAGUCGAAAAACAACAUUCAGCUAAGCUUGCUGCUAAAGAGAAGAUGUAUUCCAGAUCCCCAGCUAUGCUGUCAACGCCAGAAACCGUUGUGGAUGGGAAGCGCCAGAUAAAUUACCAGAUGGAGAAAAACAGAGGCCUUACUCGUAACCGUAAGAAGCAAGAUAAAAACCCAAGGAAGAAAUACAGGGGGAAACAUGAAAAGGCUCAGAAACGUAGAGAAGGACAAGUUCAAAAAAUUAAAAAACCAAGUGGUCCUUAUGGUGGAGAAACUACAGGAAUUAAUGUUGGUAUUAGUCGAAGUAUCCGAUUUAAGGGAUAGAAGUUGCCUGAUGUGUGGUUUAGACACACGUCUCAAAGUUAAAGUGCUUCAAUAGACAAAAGCUUAGUAUUUAAGUGGAGAAUGGUAGAGGAGUGACCCAUCAUUCCUGAGUUCGAAUGCUAUUGUUGGCAAU
rnacentral:misc_RNA from 1 species